CCCGCACAAGCGGCGGAGCAUGUGGUUUAAUUCGAAGCAACGCGAAGAACCUUACCAAGACUUGACAUCCCCUGACAGCUGUUGAAAGGCAGUGUCUCUUCGGAGCAGGGAGACAGGUGGUGCAUGGUUGUCGUCAGCUCGUGUCGUGAGAUGUUGGGUUAAGUCCCGCAACGAGCGCAACCCUUAUCCUUAGUUACCAGCACGUAAAGGUGGGGACUCUAGGGAGACCGCCGGGGACGACUCGGAGGAAGGUGGGGACGACGUCAAAUCAUCAUGCCCCUUAUGUCUUGGGCUACACACGUGCUACAAUGGCCGCAACAGAGGGAAGCGAGAGCGCAAGCUGGAGCAAAACCCUAAAAAGCGGUCCCAGUUCGGAUUGUGGGCUGCAACCCGCCCACAUGAAGUCGGAGUUGCUAGUAAUCGCGAAUCAGCAUGUCGCGGUGAAUGCGUUCCCGGGCCUU
rnacentral:rRNA from 1 species